AUUGAACGCUGGCGGCAGGCCUAACACAUGCAAGUCGGACGGUAGCACAGAGGAGCUUGCUCCUCGGGUGACGAGUGGCGGACGGGUGAGUAAUGUCUGGGGAUCUGCCCGAUAGAGGGGGAUAACCACUGGAAACGGUGGCUAAUACCGCAUAACGUCGCAAGACCAAAGAGGGGGACCUUCGGGCCUCUCACUAUCGGAUGAACCCAGAUGGGAUUAGCUAGUAGGCGGGGUAAUGGCCCACCUAGGCGACGAUCCCUAGCUGGUCUGGGAGGAUGACCGGCCACACUGGAACUGAGACACGGUCCAGACUCCUACGGGAGGCAGCAGUGGGGAAUAUUGCACAAUGGGCGCAAGCCUGAUGCAGCCAUGCCGCGUGUAUGAAGAAGGCCUUCGGGUUGUAAAGUACUUUCAGCGGGGAGGAAGGCGGUGCGGUUAAUAACCGCGCCGAUUGACGUUACCCGCAGAAGAAGCACCGGCUAACUCCGUGCCAGCCGCCGCAGUAA
rnacentral:rRNA from 1 species